UUUCCGUAGGUGAACCUGCGGAAGGAUCAUUAUUGGACUUUGAAACUUCAGGCUGCUGCUGGCUCUCCUCGGAGGGCAUGUGCACGCUUGUUGUCCAUUAUUUCUCCCACUGUGCACAAAUUGUAGACCUUUCAGUAGGCCUAUGUUGUUUUUCACAAUCUCUGAAUGUAAUAGAAUGGUUUUGAAUCUUGGGAAAUACAAUACAACUUUCAGCAACGGAUCUCUUGGCUCUC
rnacentral:misc_RNA from 1 species